rnacentral:rRNA from 1 species
UACGGAGGGGGGCUAGCGUUGUUCGGAAUUACUGGGCGUAAAGCGCACGUAGGCGGCUUUGUAAAGUUAGAGGUGAAAGCCCGGGGCUCAACUCCGGAAUUGCCUUUAAGACUGCAUCGCUAGAAUUGUGGAGAGGUAAGUGGAAUUCCGAGUGUAGAGGUGAAAAUUCGUAGAUAUUCGGAAGAACACCAGUGGCGAAGGCGACUUACUGGACACAUAUUGACGCUGAGGUGCGAAAGCGAUGGGGAGCAAACAGGGAU